rnacentral:lncRNA from 1 species
ACAGGCACAGUUAAAAGAAUUCGAUAAGCAGUUUACCCAAACAUAAAAAUCGUGGCUGUGCGUAGGAGUGUAGGUUCAGCAAAUCGAUCUGAUUUUUUUUUAAGAAUAACAUGUAACUUUAUUCAAACACGAGAAUCAUAAAUCGAUCUGAUGUUGGGCCAGGACAGAAGCGUCACCUGCUAGGCCUAGGCCUUUCAGGCGGGUUUGUUUUUUCAUUUUUCUUUUAUUUUUCCACUAACACUUGGGCCUCUAUCACUACUAUAACUUAUAUGCAUACCAUCUCGGCCCCUAAAUUGGUCGGGCCCCGAGCCGUCGGCCUUCUUUAUCGGGACCAGGGCCGGCCCUGCACCCCACUACAGUCAGACCAAAUUCACCAAAAUAGUCUUUAACUCUUUUUUUAAGCAAAAUAGUCUUUAACUAAACUAACAACAUCUUAACCAAAAAAGAAGAGCCCAUGGUACUUCUAAUGUAUUAAUAAUACAUCGGUAAUUUCAAUCUCACAAAAAAAAUUGUCCUUGCCCCUGGUCAUAUUGCAACAAUCACAUUAUCGCUGAGAAGGGGAGAGAUGUGAGGACCCGGCAUUGCUACAACGAUGGACAUCGAGGAGGCCUUCUCUUCCUCCAUGAUGGUGGUGAUGGAGCUGGUGCAUUCUCAUCCUCUUCCUUGGUGCAAUGACGGGUGGCCGUCUCCACCUCUAUGAUGUUGGCAGCGGAUGUGUUGGCGGCAUUCUUCUCUUUUUUCAGUGUGUCG